rnacentral:misc_RNA from 1 species
UUUCCGUAGGUGAACCUGCGGAAGGAUCAUUAUUGUAUAACCGAGGAUCGAGGGCUGUCGCUGGCUCGAAAGGUCGUGGACGCUCGAGUGCCCUCACACACAUCCAUCUCACCCCUAUGUGCACCACCGCGUGUGUACCCCUUGGGCUUGUUCGGUGGGGGGUUUACGUUUUAACACAAAUUUUGUAUGCAGUGUAGAAUGUAUUUUUUGUUUUUGCGAUCACGCAAUCAAUACAACUUUCAACAACGGAUCUCUUGGCUCUC